CCUACGGGUGGCAGCAGUGGGGGAUAUUGCACAAUGGGGGGAACCCUGAUGCAGCGACGCCGCGUGGGUGAAGGAGCGUUUCGGCGCGUAAAGCCCUAUCGGCAGGGAAGAAGGAGGACGGUACCUGACUAAGACGCCCCGGGUAACUACGUGCCGGCAGCCGCGGGAAUACGGAGGGGGGAAGCGUUAUCCGGAUUUACUGGGGGUAAGGGGGGCGGAUACGGCAGCGCAAGCCAGGAGGGAAAGGCCGGGGCCCAACCCCGGGACUGCUCUUGGAACUGCGCGGCUGGAGUGCAGGAGGGGGAGGCGGAAUUCCAGGUGUAGCGGUGAAAUGCGUAGAUAUCAGGAGGAACACCGGUGGCGAAGGCGGCCUGCUGGCCUGCGACUGACGUUGAGGCCCGAAAGCGUGGGGAGCAAACAGGAUUAGAUACCCUUGUAGUC
rnacentral:rRNA from 1 species